UACAGAGGUCUCAAGCGUUGUUCGGAUUCAUUGGGCGUAAAGGGUGCGUAGGUGGCGCCGUAAGUCAGGUGUGAAAUUUCGGAGCUUAACUCCGAAACUGCAUUUGAUACUGCGGUGCUUGAGGACUGGAGAGGAGACUGGAAUUUACGGUGUAGCAGUGAAAUGCGUAGAGAUCAUGAGGAAGACCAGUGGCGAAGGCGGGUCUCUGGACAGUUCCUGACACUGAGACACGAAGGCCAGGGGAGCAAACGGG
rnacentral:rRNA from 1 species